AGGGCGUAUGGGGAAUGCCUAGGCACACUCCGGCGAAGAAGGACGCAGCAAACAGCGAAAUGCGACGGUGAGCGGUAAGCACGUGAAGAGCCGUCGAUAUCCGAAUGGGGGAACCCACACGGAGUCAUAUCCGUGUAUCACAUGUCGAAUACAUAGACAUGAUGAGGCGAGACGCAGGGAACUGAAACAUCUAAGUACCUGCAGGAAGAGAAAAUAAGAAUGAUUUUCUGAGUAGCGGCGAGCGAAAGGGAAAGAGCCCAAACCGAUCUUAGGAUCGGGGUAGUAGGAUCAUCGAUAAAUCUGACAGAGGAUCAUAGAGGAAUCACAUGGGAAGGUGAGCGAGAGAGGGUGAGAGCCCCGUACUCGAAAUGAGAGACUGGAGAGAGAUGACACCUGAGUAGGGCGGGACACGAGAAAUCCUGUCUGAAUCAGCCGGGACCAUCCGGCAAGGCUAAAUACGAGAGAGUGACCGAUAGUGAACCAGUACCGUGAGGGAAAGGUGAAAAGAACCCCGGGAGGGGAGUGAAAGAGAACCUGAAACCCUGUGUUUACAAGCAGAGGAAGCAAGAGAUUGCGACCUCGUACUUUUUGUAGAACGGACCGGCGAGUUACGUUAUGCAGCGAGGUUAAGAACUGAAGGUUCGGAGCCGAAGCGAAAGCGAGUCUGAAAAGGGCGAGGAGUUGCAUGACGUAGACCCGAAACCGGGCGACCUAUCCAUGGGCAGGUUGAAGUGGUGGUAAAACAUCAUGGAGGACCGAACCAGACGUCCGCUGAAAAGGGCGGGGAUGACCUGUGGAUAGCGGAGAAAUUCCAAUCGAGCUCGGAUAUAGCUGGUUCUCCUCGAAAUAGCUUUAGGGCUAGCCUGAGAUUAGUCAAGCGGAGGUAGAGCACUGAAUGAGCUAGGGGGUCACAAAGCUUACCGAACUCUAUCAAACUUCGAAUGCCGUAUUGAUGAUGUCUUGGAGUCAGACUGCGAGUUAUAAGAUCCGUAGUCAAAAGGGAAACAGCCCAGAUCGACAGCUAAGGUCCCCAAGUGUGUGUUAAGUGGAAAAGGAUGUGGAAUUGCACAGACAACCAGGAUGUUGGCUUAGAAGCAGCCACACAUUCAAAGAGUGCGUAAUAGCUCACUGGUCGAGUGAUCCAGCGCCGAAAAUGUAACGGGGCUAAAACGCGACACCGAAGCAGCGGGAUGCGUAAGCAUCGGUAGAGGAGCAUUGUGUGAGGGUUGAAGCCAGAGCGGGAGCACUGGUGGACUUCACAGAAGAGAGAAUGCCGGUAUGAGUAGCGAGACCCAUGCGAGAAACAUGGGCGUCGAAGGCCCAAGGUUUCCUGGGGAAGGUUCAUCCACCCAGGGUAAGUCGGGACCUAAGCCGAGGACAAAAGUCGUAGGCGAUGGACAACUGGUUGAGAUUCCAGUACCACCUGUAAGAGUGAAGCACUGACACAGAAGGAUAGCAUGAGCCGGUUGAUGGUAGAGCCGGUCCAAGCGUACGAGGCUAGUGCGUAGUGAAGUACGCGCACUGAGGAAGCUGAGGCGUGAUGGGGAGCGAAAUACGAGUAGCGGAAGUAUGUGAAUUCAGGCUGGCAAGAAAAGGUGCUAACAAUGUUGCAGGUGCCCGUACCGCAAACCGACGCAGGUGGGCGAGGAGAGAAUCCUAAGACGAACGGGAGAACCCUUGUUAAGGAACUCGGCAAAAUGACCCCGUAACUUCGGGAGAAGGGGUGCCUCGAAAGAGGCCGCAGAGAAUAGUCACAAGCGACUGUUUAGCAAAAACACAGGUAUCUGCGAAAGCGAGAGCUGACGUAUAGGUGCUGACGCCUGCCCGGUGCUGGAAGGUUAAGGGGAAGUGUUAGGGGAAACCCGAAGCAGAGAACCGAAGCCCCAGUAAACGGCGGCCGUAACUAUAACGGUCCUAAGGUAGCGAAAUUCCUUGUCGGGUAAGUUCCGACCCGCACGAAUGGCGUAACGACUUGGGCGCUGUCUCAACAAGGGACCCGGUGAAAUUGAAGUAUGGGUGAAGAUGCCCAUUACCCGCGACUGGACGGAAAGACCCCGUAGAGCUUGACUGUAGCCUGAUAUUGGAUUUCGGUAACGGAUGCACAGGAUAGGUGGGAGGCUUGGAAGCCAGGACUCCGGUCUUGGUGGAGCCACCGUUGGGAUACCACUCUUCUGUUGCUGGAAUUCUAACAUGGCGCCGUGAAACCGGUGAAUGGACAGUGUCAGGUGGGCAGUUUGACUGGGGCGGUCGCCUCCGAAAGAGUAACGGAGGCGCCCAAAGGUACCCUCAGAAUGGAUGGAAACCAUUCAAAGAGUGUAAAGGCAGAAGGGUGCUUGACUGUGAGAGUGACAACUCGAUCAGAUACGAAAGUAGGGCUUAGUGAUCCGGCGGUAUUGAGUGGAAAAGCCGUCGCUUAACGGAUAAAAGCUACCUCGGGGAUAACAGGCUGAUCUCCCCCAAGAGUCCACAUCGACGGGGAGGUUUGGCACCUCGAUGUCGGCUCAUCGCAUCCUGGGGCUGAAUUCGGUCCCAAGGGUUUGGCUGUUCGCCAAUUAAAGCGGCACGCGAGCUGGGUUCAGAACGUCGUGAGACAGUUCGGUCCCUAUCCAUCGUGGGCGUAGGAAUCAUGAGAGGAGCUGUUCCUAGUACGAGAGGACCGGAAUGGACGCACCACUGGUGCAACUGUUGUCGUGCCAACGGCAUAGCAGGGAAGCGAAGUGCGGAUGGGAUAAACGCUGAAGGCAUCUAAGCGUGAAGCCCACCUCGAGAAUAAGAUUCCAGGCAGCAAUGCGAGAGACCCCUGGAAGACUACCAGGUGAUAGGUCGUCGGUGGAAGCGCAGUAAUGUGUGUAGCUUGACGAUACUAAUCGGUCGAUAGCUUGAUUU
rnacentral:rRNA from 1 species